GAUGAACGCUAGCGGCAGGCUUAACACAUGCAAGUCGAGGGGUAUAGUUCUUCGGAACUAGAGACCGGCGCACGGGUGCGUAACGCGUAUGCAAUCUACCUUUUACAGGGGGAUAGCCCAGAGAAAUUUGGAUUAAUACCCCAUAGUAUGUUAGAGUGGCAUCAUUUUAACAUUAAAGUUCCAACGGUAAAAGAUGAGCAUGCGUCCCAUUAGCUAGAUGGUAAGGUAACGGCUUACCAUGGCGACGAUGGGUAGGGGUCCUGAGAGGGAGAUCCCCCACACUGGUACUGAGACACGGACCAGACUCCUACGGGAGGCAGCAGUGGGGAAUAUUGGACAAUGGGCGCAAGCCUGAUCCAGCCAUGCCGCGUGUGUGAAGAAGGCCUUCGGGUUGUAAAGCACUUUCAGUAGGGAGGAAGCGUUGUGUGUUAAUAGUACACAGCGUUGACGUUACCUACAGAAGAAGCACCGGCUAACUCUGUGCCAGCCGCCGCCGUAAAAC
rnacentral:rRNA from 1 species